UCUAUUUUUAAUUAAGUGUUCGGCAAUUUUAGAAAAUACGGAUGCUAAUGCUAUUGGCCUAUAAGAGGAUGGUUCUGCAGGAUUUUUGAAAGGUUUAAGAAUAGGAAUAAUAAUAUGAAUUUUCCAAGCAGAGGGAAUUAAGCCGGAUUCAAUUACAAUAUUAAUAAUAUCUAACAAAUAACAAAGAGAAGGCGCAGUAAGAUGUGAUAAAAACGAGUAUGGAAUGCUGUCUUGGCCAGGGCAGGAAUCUGAUACAUGCUCUAAAACUAAUUUUAGUUCUCUCAUAGAAAAUGGCGAGCUAAAAUAGUCGUUAGAACAGUUAUUAUUAGAAAGUGAAUAUGUGUAAGGCAUUUGAGUAGCGUUAGGAACGUAGUUAGGAGCUAAUUUGUUUGUAAAAGCAUUUACCCAGUCUAAACUAAAAGAGUUACGAUUUGCGAUUGAUAAAGAAGAUCGAAAACGUUUAAUAUUGUUCCAAACAAUAGUGAGUGGAGUGUCUGGCGACAAAGAAGAACAGAACUUUUGCCAGCCAGCUUUCUUUUUUUUCCUCAACAACCGCUUGGUUGCAGCAGUAACAUUUUUUAACUUUAAAUAGUUUUCCAUACUUAGUGAAUCGCGACAUGCUUUUUCGGCAUCUUUUCUUUUUUUAAUAGCCGCCGUGCAUUCUGGAUCCCACCAAGGCGGUGAGGGUAAUUUAUUGUUGGCAACAUUUUUACGUUUAAAAACUGCAUCAGCUGAUGAUUGAAUGGCUGACACUAAGCUGUCAAAUGAGUUAUUGAGGUUAUCUUUACAAACUUUCGGCAAUAACUUGACUUUCUGCUCAACAGAUAUGCUAAAUGAAUACCAAUCACAAUUGUUUAGAAUAUAUUUACGCAAGGGAGGAAGUGGAUCUACAGAACGGUUGUUCUUUGGUAACGUAAUGACAAUCGGAACAUGGUCACUACCAUAAGUGGAUGAUAAACAUCUCCAACUCAGACUCAAAGAUAGCGUAGGUGAACAAAGUGAGAUAUCGACAAAACUUAAAGAUUGGCCGGGACAGGGUCUCCUUGUUGCUGAACCAUCGUUUAAAACGCACAGAUUUAACUCGUCUAUAAGCUCCACAAGAUCACUACCAAAUGAAUCAUUGACUGGUGCACCCCAAAGAGAAUGGUGUGCAUUAAAAUCACCUAAAAUUAACACAGGCGCAGGAAGAGAUAGGAUUAAAUUUCUUAAAAUCGGAAUAACAGAUGAAUCUUUGCAAGAAAUGUAUACAGACAGUACUGAAAUAUCCCCAAUUUUUGCAGCUACUGCAUUCAAGUGAUUAUUAUUGUAGGAAGGAAGUGCUAGUGAUGUAAAUAAGUUUUGAAGGUGAAGGUGAUUUGGGAGCACUAGCUGUGACAUCUGAGUAUGACUUAGUGAAUGGAAACUGUUUAGAGGCUUCUAGAUAUGAUACUGUGUUAACUGACAUAUAAUGCUUUAUGUUUUUUUGUCGUAUAAAUUCGGGACAGGUUUGUUCAUUUGCUUGAUGUUUCCCUGCACAAUUAAUGCAGGAAACAUCUGUCUCGUCGCAAUUAGAGCCUGAGUGGUCCCCGGUGCAUUUAAAGCACCUGGGUUUGCUUCUGCAUUGAACCCUGGUAUGUCCAAAACGACAACAGUUAAAACACUGAAUUGUUGGGAAUAUGUACUGGUCAACAGGCAGUGAGGAAAAAAAGGAAUAAAUUCGGGGAGGAAGAGCUUGACCAUCGAAUGUAAGGACUACCGUCUGAGUGGGCAACCAUUUAGGGCCUUCAAGUGAUGUAACUUUGCGGCUAAGCCGGCGAGACCGAAUGAUUGGACCAAAGCCUUCAGGAACUCUUAAAUUUCCUACAAUCUCUUCAUGCGACCAUUCGCAGGGAAUGCCUUUGACAAUGCCCAUUUUGGUGAUAUUGUAUGUUGGGAUAGAUAAAACAUAAUCAUGUAAUAUAAUUGGAUUACACAAAAAUGAGUUUGCCGCACCAGGUGUUUUGAAUGUCACUGCCAAUCGAUUUCGCCCUAUUCGUUUAAUGCCAUCAUCCAAAAUAUUUUUUAAAUUAUUUCUGAAUAGAAAAUUCCCAAAUUUGAUGGGGUGAAGAGUGGAGCCAGAGUUGGGAGUUUCUUUUUGUUGGACAUGUACCAGAAAAGGACCUGCAUCCUGAUCCUGGUAAUUGUUUCUGCCUAUUAUAUGGUUAUUCUGUUGAGAAUGUUGGAUCACCGGAGCUGGAGGAGCUUGCGUUAAAAUUUCUUGAAAAGCAGUGGAAAUGUGCAUUUUAGGAGAGGAUUUGGUCUUUAAUAAAUGUUUGUUAAUUUU